GACAGUAGUAAGAUGGUAUCUCAGUGUAGGGGAAGCUGUAGCCUACUUAGGGGCUGGCUACAGGUGUGCCUGACCAUGCUUUCGAGGGCGUGGUCAGGGUGGCGUAGAGUGACUGCGUUUUCUCUUUCGGUUUCACUUUGGUACUUGCUGGACAGACUGCUGCCACGCCGGCUGGCUAGGUCGCUCUGGUGUGUACCCUGGUCCGGCUGGAAGACCCAGUUCAGAGGACUCAGGGAUUUUGCAGGUCUGCCCCUCACCUCAGCCAGACACCUCCCAAAGUAUAAGGCAGCCAGAAAAAGCCAGAGAGACCUUCAGACGGGGCCAACUGGAACCUGUGCUGCCCUUUCUCAGUCACCGCCUCUCUGCAGGGACUUCGGCCAACAGCCAGCAGUGCAGACAAGGGCUGCAUGGACCUGCAGCCUGCGGCUGGCCCCCAAGGGCGGGCAGCCAGGUGCCCGUGGCCGCAGGAGAGAAGGGCCCCUCUUCUCUCCACUCAAAGGUGGAUUGAGGAAGGCUGGCUCCGGGAUUUUUUCAAGAAGCUCGUCGGGAGCCAGAGAAUAGGAACAUCUGUGUCCUGGGUUCUGUCCUGGACUCCGCUCAGGCCACAGUCUGGAGCUGGCGUCGGCUGGAGACAGGCCUGCAUCCUGCUGGCUGGAGGGUGGGGCUGCUUCUGGCCUGCUGGUUGAGGAAGGCAGCCACUAACCUCCACCCUUGAGAGCCCAGAAGCGUGGCCGGGCAUGGGAGGGCACACGGAGCUCUCAGGACUGGGACACGAGGGUGUCUCCACGGACUGUGCGUACAAAAGGUCUGAGACAGGUCCUAGAGUCUCAGCAAGUAGGCUUCCUGGACCCCAGGCCUUUCCUUUUCCCCUGUGCCUUUGGUGACAGGCAUUUUGUGACCAUUCUGAGGGUUCCUUCCUAUCCCUUAUCCCCUUUCCCGGCUGCUCAUCUCGAAACCAUCUAGUCUACUGGUUUUCCCCUGACCAUUUUUGUUGUUGUUGUUCUUUGUGUAUUAUUUAUUAUUUAAAUUUUAAUUUGAAAAGGUAGUGUAUUAUAUUGGGGAUGUAGUUCAGUUGACAGAGCACUUGCCUAGCAUGCAACUCUAGGCCCUAGAUUUACCCAGUUCAAAACCAGUAAAAAAAAUGUAGUGAAUUUAUGUGGUUCAAAAUUUUAAAUGUUAUUAAAUGUGUGUGAGUGUGAGUGUGUGUGUGUGUGUGUGUGUGUGUGUGUGUAGAGAGAGGAGAAAUCUCACUUUCACCUAGAUUUCACCAGCCCUUCUUUUCACUACUGCCUUCCACCUUGUAGCACAAAGCAAGAUACACAGAAGCUAAGGUGUACACCUUCUUGGUCAGGUUUGCUUAGUGGUGCACACCUUUAAUCUCAGUACUCAGAGGCAGAGGAAAACAGAUCUUGUAAGUCUGAUUUGAGGCCAGCCUGGUCUACACAGCAAGUUCUAGAUCAGCGAAAACUAUAUAAUGAGACCGUGUCUCCAACAAACAAAUAUGCAAAUUGGGAAUAUG
rnacentral:lncRNA from 1 species